AGCAGCCGCGGUAAUUCCAGCUCCAAUAGCGUAUAUUAAAGUUGUUGCAGUUAAAAAGCUCGUAGUUGAAUUUCGAGAUCAAUUUGUUGGUCGUGCCUCGGUACGUACUGGCAAUUUUGAUUUCUCCCUUCUGAAGAACCAUGAUGUCAUUAAUUUGGUGUCAUGGGGAAUCAGGACCGUUACUUUGAAAAAAUUAGAGUGUUUAAAGCAGGCUCGCGCUUGAAUACAUUAGCAUGGAAUAAUGAAAUAGGACGUUUGAUUCUAUUUUGUUGGUUUCUAGGAUCGACGUAAUGAUUAAUAGGGAUAGUUGGGGGCAUUAGUAUUCAAUUGUCAGAGGUGAAAUUCUUGGAUUUAUUGAAGACUAACUACUGCGAAAGCAUUUGCCAAGGAUGUUUUCAUUAAUCAAGAACGAAAGUUAGGGGAUCGAAGACGAUCAGAUACCGUCGUAGU
rnacentral:rRNA from 1 species